AAGUGGAGCAAUCCACUAGUACAGUGGCGUACGGGUGAGUAACACGUGACUAACCUACCCUCGAGUGGGGAAUAACCUCGGGAAACCGGGGCUAAUACCGCAUAACAUCUACGGAUCAAAUGCGUAAGCAGCUUGAGGAGGGGGUCGCGGCCGAUUAGUUAGUUGGCGGGGUAAUGGCCCACCAAGACGAUGAUCGGUAUCCGGCCUGAGAGGGCGCACGGACACACUGGAACUGAAACACGGUCCAGACUCCUACGGGAGGCAGCAGUGGGGAAUUUUGCGCAAUGGGGGAAACCCUGACGCAGCAACGCCGCGUGGAGGAUGAAGUCCUUCGGG
rnacentral:rRNA from 1 species